CAGUGGCGACAACGUAGAAAAAGAAGGUGGCACACAUGACCGCCACAUACCACUUCUUAUCUUCAGCUGCGCCAGUUAACCUGAGGAAGAACAGUGAGACAUAAGAGUAGUGAGGUUGACUUUACUCCGGAUGUUAACACGCUACAGUCCUGUCAUGUCUGCUGUGUUGAGUAAGUGAUGCCUCAUGCUGCCUGUUAGGUUCCACAGACAUCUGGGAAAAAGCUGUGUAUGAAACAGCAAGCCAGAGGAUGACUCCUGAUGAAGUUUACUAAUGAGCUGAUGAGGUGAUGAGGUGUGCUGGCAGACCUGUUUCAUUUGGCAGUUUUGCCAUUGAUCAUGACUCACCAUGCAGGAAGGAAUCAGUGGGGAUGAAGAAGGCAGCUGCGACCAUCCCGAGGAGUAAAACGAACUUCAAGAACCAGAAUCUGUACUGUUAAAAAACAAGAAAAGGCCUCUGUGAUCAAUGAAGAAAUUCCUUCUGAUUGAUUUGUCAUGUUACUGACCCAUUGUGGAUGAGAGCUCUGAAAUCCUGGCUGGACUUCACAUCCACGAGAAGAAGGGCCAUCAU